rnacentral:rRNA from 1 species
UACGUAGGGGGCAAGCGUUAUCCGGAUUUACUGGGUGUAAAGGGAGCGUAGACGGCAGCGCAAGUCUGGAGUGAAAUCCCAUGGCUUAACCAUGGAACUGCUUUGGAAACUGUAUAGCUUGAGUACUGGAGAGGCAGGCGGAAUUCCUAGUGUAGCGGUGAAAUGCGUAGAUAUUAGGAGGAACACCAGUGGCGAAGGCGGCCUGCUGGACAGAAACUGACGUUGAGGCUCGAAAGCGUGGGGAGCAAACAGG